rnacentral:tRNA from 1 species
GAAUUCUAAGUACAUUUUUUGUAUAAUUAAUUGUUGAUUAGUAGGUUUAUGAAUUCU